AUAAUAAUUUUCUCUGAUAUAUAACUUCUAUCUAUUGUUUUAGUUCGUCAGUGCAACACGGAUUUUAUUUAACACAAACCACCAGCAUACAUGCACAGUACUCCUUGCCCGGCGCUACACCGGACCUCGUCCGGUAAACAGUCUCAACGUCCGCCCGGCUCUCCGCCGGUUCUCCUCCGGUAAACAGUCUCAGUGUGAGCCCAGCUCUCCACAGGAUCUCUUCCGGUAAGCUGCCCGCUCCACCGGACCUCGUCCUGUCCGCUGUCCUCCCAUGCGUCUCUUCGUCCUCUCUGUCCGCGUGCCUUUUAUCCUCUGCUCCAGCCUGCUGCUGCAGAGAGAAUCAGGUCAGUCUGAUCGCCAACACCUGCGUCAAUUAACCUGACGCUGCUCCCAUGCACUCUCCUCCACGCCUCUCUCCCCUGCAGCUGAGCUCUCCCACGCCUAUCGCCACAGUCAUAAAACCAAUGAAGAAGAAGAAGAAGCCUCGCGAGACCUGCCGUAUUCAGUUGCGUAGGUGCAGUUGUUGCGAGAUUAGAGCCCACAGCGGGAACAAUCCAUGGAGCGGAAGAAGCUAUUCCGGGCAUGGCUUCACUUUUUCAAGAAAAACAACGAAAAGGCUGAAUGUAAUCACCGUGACGCUGCAUUGAUAAAAGAAUCGAUAAGGAAUCGAAUCGAUAAGUGGCAUCAAUAAUGGCAUUGACAUCGAUAAUUUCUUAUCAAUUAUCAUCCCUAUUCAACAGGAUGUUGCAACAAGAUGGAAUUCCACCUUUUAUAUGAUGCAAAGUCUGGUUGAGCAGAAGAGGGCGUUAGGAGCAUAUGCUGCUGAUUAUGAGCUGCCGGCCACUGUGACGGCAAAUCAGUGGGCGAUUUUAGAAAAUAUGAUCACACUUCUGGUGCCUUUUGAGCAACUGACCAGAGAGAUAAGUUCUGCAGAAGCCUCUACUGCUGAUGUGAUCCCUGCGGUAGUGGCACUGACGCGCCUGCUGAUCAGACCUACUGACACCGACAGAGGCGUGCAGACCACAAAAGCGACCCUCCUGAAAGCUGUGAAUGACCGCUUCCAUGGUGUGCAACAUGAGCCAUUUUUUUCCAUAGCUACAAUGCUUGAUGUCCGUUACAAAGACUGGUACUUUGACGUGGAUCAAAAGAGGAGUGCAGUGACCUGUUGCUGACAGUGUUGGAUGAAAUGGAUGAUGACACGGGAAGUGCACACACCAGCACAGAGGCCCCCCUGAAAAGAAGACCCGAACAGGAUCACUGCUGGACAUGUAUGAAGAAAUUCUGGAGGAGAGUGUCACACAUGGAGAGUUGGCAAAUACUGAAGCAGCAUCACAGAUAAAUGCAUACCUGUCUGAGGCCCCAAUCUCCAGGAGCAACAGUCCACUGGACUACUGGAAAACCAACCAGUCCCGUUUCCCUGCACUUGCUCGGGCAGCACGCAAGUACCUGUGUGCGCCCAGCACAAGUGUUGACAGCGAGCGGCUAUUUAGUGUUGCCUCCAAUGUGAUAGAUAGGAAUCGUCUAGAUUGUGGGAAAGCAGAGAUGCUAAUUUUUGUGAAGAAAAACCUUCCCUUGCUCCUAAAAAGUUAGAUAAAGACAAGCUUAUCUGUCAGCUGAAGUCAUCUCUAAUUUGCCUUGAAAAGGUAAAGACUUAAGUUCAAGUUCAAUUUCAGUUCAAUUCAAUUCAAUUCAAUUCAAUUUUAUUUAUAUAGCAUCAAUUACAGUCAAAUUGUCUCAAGAUGCUUUACAGAACCCAUAUGCCUGACCCCCAGAGCAAGCCCAAAGGCGACAGUGGCAAGGAUAAACACCCUUUUAACAGGGGAAAAAACCUCAACCAGAACCCGGCUCUAUAUGGGGGGACCCAUCUGCCUGCUGGCCGGACGGAUUGAGAGGGACAGAGGAGGGCAAGGGGGAGGGAUGGGAGAAGAGGGAGGGGUGGGAAAGCAAGGAAAGUACAACACACAUUUGGAUACAUGUAUGACAAGAUAUGUGAAACGAACAAAGUGUAAGCUAACAUUGAAAACUGACUCAUAAUUUACUCUUAUGAUGUACGACUCUGACAUUAAACAUACUCCAUAUAUAGCUAGCAGUAAAAUUCAAACAGUAUGUAGAUUAGCAUAACAAGUAUAGUGAGGGCAAUGCAGGGUUGACUGGUGGAAAAGGGGAGCUGGAAGUGGAGGGCUGGAGGAAGGUCAGCAGCAGCAUCCCACACUGGACAUGGUGGAGACUGGACCAGCUGGUGGAACAUCGACCGCAGAUCUGAAGCAUCCAGCUCUGGGACCAGGGACACUCGGAGAAAUAACACAGGGGGAAACAGAGUGAAUGUAAUGCAAUAACGGUAUACAUAUUAAAUGUAAAGGUAGAUAGAGAAGGGCUCAGUGCAUCAAGAGAAGUCCCCCAGCAGCCUGUAGACCUAUAGCAGCAUGACUAGGGGCAGAACGAAGGGACGUCCAAGAGGGAGUCAGCUGUGGAAAUGAAGACACAAGCUGAACCCCUGUGGGUCACCCAGUCAGCCCCAACUAUAAGAUUUGUCAAAAAGGAACGUUUUAAGCCUGGUCUUAAAAAUAGAGGGGAUAUCUGCCUCCCGAACCCAAACUGGGAGUAGGUUCCACAAGAGAGGUGCCUGAUAACUGAAGGCUCUGCCUCCCAUUCUACUUCUAGAAAUUCUAGGAACAACAAGUAAGCCUGCAGUUUGAGAGCGAAGAGUUCUACUAGGAUAAUAAGGUACUAUCAGAUCUUUAAGAUAUGAUGGAGAUUGGUUAUUAAGAGCUUUAUAUGUCAGGAGAAGGCUUUUAAAUUCUAUUCUGGAUUUAACAGGAAGCCAGUGAAGAGAAGCAAGUAUGGGGGAAAUAUGAUCUCUUUUGCUAACUCCUGUCAGUACUCUCGCAGCAGCGUUUUGGAUCAACUGUAGAUGUUUGAGAGAGCUAUUUGGACAACCCGAUAAUAAGGAAUUGCAAUAGUCAAGCCUGGAAGUAACAAAAGCAUGAACUAAUUUUUCUGCAUCACUCUGAGACAGAAUGUUCCUGAUUUUUUACAAUAUUUCUCAGGUGAAAAAAGGAAGUCCUACAGACUUGCUUUAUGAGUGAGUUAAAGGACAUGUCCUGGUCAAAGAUAACUCCAAGAUUCCUCACAGUAGUACUGGAGGCCAAUGUGAUGCCAUCCAGAGUAACUAUUUGCUUUGAAAGCGAGUUUUUAAGAUGUUUGGGGCCAAAUACAAUGACUUCAGUUUUGUCUGAUUUUAACAGUAGGAAGUUAAAAGUCAUCCAGGUUUUAAUGUCCUUAAAGCUGCUGUCCGGAGUUUCCAUUUGUUUUCAAUCUAUGUAUCAUUUUUUAACAAAGCUUAAAUGUGUUAGUCUAGUUCGAUACUAUAAUAUAAAGUUAGAAUAACGCGAUAUGAAAAUUUAUUCCUGAGCUCCGCCUUCCUCUCAUAGACCCCCAUGUUAUUCCAAAAAGCGCCGGUUGCUGCCGACCAAUCAAGUUCGAGCUUCAGCUUUGUCAUGCUGUCAAUCAACGGUUACGCGCACAGCAAGCAAGCCCAUGCAGAGCUGGGAGAGCUACGCACUACGCAACCGCGCGCACAUUUGUUUUGCUUGUGGAGGAGAGAGCAUCAGGGCUCAGCAACUUCCAGAAAAGUUACCAAUCCCACGGCUUGUCAGGCCAAGAGACUGCAGGACGUUUUUUGGCUCGGGGUGCUCGCGUCGCUCCCCGACCACGGCCCUCCAUAGCCCGCCUGACGGCUUCGUUUAGAUGCCGUGGUCGGGGUGCUCGCCUCGCUCCCCGACCACGGCCCUCCAUAGCCCGCCUGACGGCUUCGUUUAGAUGCCCGACCUCUGGAGGAAGAUGUUGGGGCAUCUGGGACAUACUCUUCAUCAGAGGAGUCAUGCAAUUCUGAACUCUAGAUAGAAAUAAAUAAACAAUGUAACACAUAUACACGCGUAAAUGCACUAAGUUUGAUAAACAACGUCAUUGAGAGGGAUACACGAGUGUAAUCACAUAUUGAAACUUUACUCGUUCGUCCUAGCAGAUUCAUGUUAUUUUGGUAUUAGGACAAGUUAGACUCAAUACAGCAUUCUAACGUAAUUCCUUUAUUAUUUACUAAAUGUACUAAAUGUAGAAGAGGGGAAAACAGCAAAACAGGCGAGAUGCUGCAGCACUCCGGGCACUUCUCUCAUGUACUGCGCGCGUGCACAAAUAAAGGGGCGAAAUCAGAGGGAGGGAGGGUGGGACCACCAGUGUUCUGGGAGACGCUGCGAUUCAAACUCCGGACAGCAGCUUUAAGACAAUCUUGCAGUCUCGCUAACUGAUCAGUUUCAUCUGGCUUCAUAGAUAAAUACAAUUGUGUGUCAUCUGCAUAACAAUGGAAGUUAAUACAGUGCUUCCUAAUAAUAUUGCCUAAAGGAAGCAUGUAUAAUGUGAAAAGUAUCGGUCCUAAGACAGAACCCUGAGGAACUCCAUGAUUAACUUUAGUAUGCUCAGAAGAGUCAUUGUUGACAUGCACAAACUGGAAUCUAUCUGAUAAGUAGGAUUUAAACCUGUCCAGUGCUGUCCUUUUAAUGCCAAUUGAAUGUUUUAGAUGCUGUAAUAAAAUUUUGUGGUCGAAUGUGUCAAACGCUGCACUAAGAUCUAACAAAACAAGUAUAGAGACUAGUCCAUUAUCUGAUGCUAUGAGAAGGUCAUUAGUAACUUUCACCAGAGCCGUUUCUGUGCUAUGAUGCACUCUGAAGCCUGACUGAAACACUUCAAACUGAUUAUUCCUUUGUAAGUGUUCGCAUAAUUGAUUUGCAACUGAUCUUUCCAGAAUUUUAGAGAGAAAUGGUAGGUUGGAUAUUGGUCCGUAGUUAGCUAACACAUCUGGAUCGAAAGUGGGCUUUUUAAGCAAAGGUUUGAUGACAGCAACCUUAAAAGCCUGUGGUACAUAGCCUGUUACUAAAGAGAGAUUAAUCAGAUCUAACAUUGAAGAAUUAAUUAAAGGUAAGAUCUCCUUGAAGAGUCUAGUUGGGAUAGGAUCUAAGAGACAUGUUGAUGGUUUGGAUGUAGAAACUGUUGAAAUUAGUUCAGAGAGACAUAUAGGAGUGAAGAAUUCUAAAGAUUCAUCAAGUCUAACAGCCAAUUCAAAAGCAUCUGUGACAUUUGUAGGAAGGGCCAGAUUGAUUUUAUCUCUAAUCAUAACUAUUUUACGUGUAAAGAAGCUCAUGAAGUCGUUACUGGUUAGAGGUAAAGGAAUACAAGGUUCAACAGAGCUCUGACUCUGUCAGCCUGGCUACAGUGCUAAAGAGAAACCGAGGGUUGUUCUUGUUCUCCUCUAUUAAAGAUGAAUAGUAUGUUGUCCUAGCAUUACGAAGAGCUUUUUUAUAGAUUACUAGACUAUUUUUCCAAGCCACAUACACUUCCUCUGAAUUAGUGGAAUACCACUUUCUUUCCAGCUUUCGGCAUAGUACGAAUUACGGGGUUGUUUGGGGGGGUUUGACCCCCCAAUUACAACUUCGAUCCCCCUAAAAGGGGUACAAAUAAGAGAUUGGGGGGGUUGAAACAUUUAUCUGUCUUUUUAGUGUCAAAAAUAUUACAGUGUAUUGUAUUUUCCAUAUUCAUGCCAGGAAGAGGCUUGUGCUAAAACACACACACCCAGACAGACACCCCUUGAGUGGACUAUACCAUUUUCACUGUCACUCGUUAGUUCCCAGCUGCCUGGCUGAAAUCCAAGUAGCCGCGCGCGCGGAAAAAAAUAAAAUAAAAGAGCUAGACGGAAAAAAAGUUGGCUUUGCGCUGUUUCGGGACAUCAACGACUUGGGGAGCACUGUGAUGUAAGUUAUCUAGCUCGUUUAUUUUUAUUUAGCAUCCCACUUUCGGAAUUACGAAUUAUAUUUGGAUUCAUAUUGUGUCCGGUGUCUCAGACGGAUGUUAUCAUGUAUCUAUGUGUAAAUGUCAAUAUGUUAAUGCUAGCUUAAACUGGUGUGAAUGUUACGUUAGCUUACACCGGUGCUCAUGAGCAGUUAGAAAAUGGGGGGCUGACGUUCAUACAAUAAUGAAGACCAGUCCUCACUACUUUUAGCUUUUAGCUCCAGUUCUCUCUCAAUGACUGACAGGCCUGUCAGCCUGUAUGUCACCUUUAUGAAUAUAGGAAAACACAGAACUGAUGGACAACAUGUAAUCCAAUUUCAGUCUGUUACAAAAUUAUAUUAUUUAAUUUUAAUAGUCUUCUGAACGGUGAUCUAUUUACGCUUUUGCCUUGAUAUUAGCUUUUAUAAUAGGCACUCCAUGACAGUAGAUUUCAUGCAGGACUAUAAUCUGGCUGAUUAGUUGAACUGUUAAAAUCAACGUACUAAAAGCUGAUUAACUGAUUGCCUGUGACAGUUGUAUUUGUCCAAAUUUAUGACUACUUCAUUGAACUCAAAUUAGAUUUCAUUUACAGAGCCAACAUGGUCAAGAGGAAAGGAGAAGAUAUCAGGCACUAUUUUGGUGCCAAAAAAAGAGUAAGUUGAAAAUUAGGACAUAGUUAAGAAAAUGCAGCCUGUAUUUUCAGUGGUUGUUAUAGAAGCUAUAAAUACAGAGCAUUAUAGCAUGGUGAAUUUUACAUGCAUGUGCUGUUGUAUUAAGGAGGCAGAGGGAGAUAUUGUGAGCAAGAAAGGAGGAGGAGAGGACAGUGAGCAGGCAGAGGAGGAGGAGGACAGUACACAAUGCAGACAUUUUUUUUGAAACAAGUAAGAUUUCUGUAAAUAUUUAAAAUGACCUAUUAAAAUUUAAUGAUUUUGUUUUCUUGUAUAUAUGUUUAUUUUAUGUCUUUUCUCUAUAUUAAACAACAACAAUAAUAAAGAUUGUUAAACCUUG